rnacentral:rRNA from 1 species
UACGUAGGGUGCAAGCGUUGUCCGGAAUUAUUGGGCGUAAAGAGCUCGUAGGCGGUCUGUCGCGUCUGCUGUGAAAACUCAGGGCUUAACCCUGAGCUUGCAGUGGGUACGGGCAGACUAGAGUGCGGUAGGGGAGACUGGAAUUCCUGGUGUAGCGGUGAAAUGCGCAGAUAUCAGGAGGAACACCCGGUGGCGAAGGCGGGUCUCUGGGCCGUAACUGACGCUGGAGGAGCGGAAAGCAUGGGGAGCGAACAGG